rnacentral:rRNA from 1 species
AUUGAACGCUGGCGGCAGGCCUAAUACAUGCAAGUCGAGCGGAUGAACGGAGCUUGCGCCUGGCUUCAGUUACGGACGGGUGAGUGAUUCCCAGGAAUCUGCCUGGCCUAUAGGGAUAACGUCACGAAGCGGGCGCUAAUCUCGCAUACGUCCUGAUGGUGAAAGGCGGGGAUCUUCGGACCACAAGCGAUUUGCUGUGCCUGGGUGGGAUUAGCUAGUUGGUUGGGUAAAGGCCUACCAAGGCGACGAUCCGUAGCUGGUCUGAGAGGCUGAUCAGCCACACUGGAACUGAGACACGGUCCAGACUCCUACGGGAGGCAGCAGUAGGGAAUAUUCGGCAAUGGGCGAAAGCCUGACGCAGCAAUGCCGCGUGUGUGAUGAAGGUCUUCGGAUUGUAAAGCUCUUUUAGUAGGGAAGAACAUCAGUGUGAGAAAAUCUGGCUGUUUUGACGUUACCAAAACAGAAAGCACCGGCUAACUACGUG